rnacentral:lncRNA from 1 species
CAGCAGCAGAAAUGUUCCUGCUCCCGUUCCCAGCUCGGGCAUUUCACAUCCAAAGGCUGCUAUCAGUGGCAAUCGUGAUUGCUUCCAGCUUCUUUGGCUUUUUGCAUGUAAAACCCAGAGCCAUCACUCUGAUCAGAAACUGAAAUCCUGCUUUGUGCUCCUCCAGUGUGGAAAUCUGUCAGCUCCUGUGACCCCUAUUACUGCAAUACCCGAGAACAUCACCUCUGGUCCUGCACUGAGCCUCGCAGUAUCUGAAGAAAGUUAGACUUGCAUUAAUAUUAUUUUCCUCUGUUCUAGAUGGAGAACUGAGGC